CGCGGUACCGCCGCCGCUCGGGCUCUGCUCCCCUCUGCCGCCGCCGCUCUGGCUCCGCCGCCAACCGCUGCCACCAUCCGCUGGCGCCGGCGCCACUACCGCUCUGGCUCCGUCGCCAUCCUCCGCCGCCAUCGCCACUCGGGCUCCGUCCCCAUCCAUCGCCGCCAUCCGUCGCCGCUAUUCGGGCUCCAUCGCCGCCGCCGCUCGACGGCGAGGGACGACGAAGAUUACAGCGACGGCGAGAGGGGAGAAGCCAACGGCGGCGAAUCCGUGCGCAACGAAGGCCCCUCUUCGCCUGCAACUCGAGAGGCGAUAAUAUCCGCGCGACGGCGACUACACAGACGACAGCGGUGGUGGCUCAUGACGACAACCUCAACAACGGCGACCUUGACGAUGACCCGGGGCGUGAAGGCGGAGGCCGCGCGGCCCCGAAUCCAUGCCGCCGGCCAAAUCCGCGCGAGGUCGUGCGGCUGGCCAAAUCCGGCAGGGGUGGAUACCGCGCAGAGGUAGAGUCCUCCAGACGACGGCGGCCGCGGCUAGCGCCGACGCAGACGACGACGGCGGUGGUUGGCGACGAUGACCUUGGCAAGCACAGUUGAUGGGCGACGGCGAGCGUACAGGAGGCCGGGGCGGCGUCGGACAGAGAAGACUAGAAGAGGGGAGAUGGAGAAAGAGAUAGAAAGUGGGACCCACAGUGGGGCCCACCGUUUGGCCAGGGGAGGAGGCUGGCUACAUUUGGCCAUCCAAAUAGCUUAGCAGUUCAAAUAGCAAGCUGUUGGAGUGAGUUUUUUCACUGUUUGAGCUAAAAUUUAGCUUGGAGAGCCAUCUAGCAACUCUGUUGAGUUGCUCAUCUCAUACGGCCACAAGCUGCACGCAGGAAGACUUGAACGAGCAUCUCAUACGGCCAUAGGCUGCAUGCAGCUUAAUGCUUGACUUGACUAAUGAAGUCCGAUCCUUUCAGUCUCUCUCUCAAGGCUUUAUACCAAUCUCUCUCUUGGCUUCUUCGUUGGUGGUUUGGGUGGGAUUGGGCAUGGUAUAUUUCCGCGUCGACCUCGCGACGGUGCUCUUAUCGUUCCGACCACCGCUGCAGCGCGCGUCCCAGGAUGAAGAACGAGCAUGCCGGUAAACUAAAUUUGCUGCCAGCACUUCACCGGGCCUGCUUGCCAUGCGGUGAGACAUCCUAAAUUUCACCCCUAGUAAGCAUGUGCACGUAAUUAGAACGCGAAUCAAAAGCACAAUACGAUACAGACGAAGGAUCUGCCCAAAACUGGAUAUAUAUUUAUGGUCAAAGUAAACCAACAACGAUGAAAACAGAAUUAAGCUAGUAUUGCAGUAUAAGGAGCCCUCGAUUGCUGAAUGUACAAAAUCUCUUGAGCAUCUAAAAAUCUGGAUCUCCAGUGCAACAAGAAUGUCUGAGAAGCAGUACACUGUCAGUAGCUAAACACUGCACCUUAGUCUCUUCCACAUGACAGGAGAUGAAA